UGGGGAAUAUUGGACAAUGGGGGCAACCCUGAUCCAGCCAUGCCGCGUGUGUGAAGAAGGCCUUUUGGUUGUAAAGCACUUUAAGCAGUGAAGAAGACUCUUCGGUUAAUACCCGGGGACGAUGACAUUAGCUGCAGAAUAAGCACCGGCUAACUCUGUGCCAGCAGCCGCGGUAAUACAGAGGGUGCAAGCGUUAAUCGGAAUUACUGGGCGUAAAGCGAGCGUAGGUGGCUUGAUAAGUCAGAUGUGA
rnacentral:rRNA from 1 species